UGAGCCAUUAGCUCAGUUGGUAGAGCACCUGACUUUUAAUCAGGGUGUCGAAGGUUCGAGUCCUUCAUGGCUCAUCCA
rnacentral:tRNA from 2 species